UACAGAGGUCUCAAGCGUUGUUCGGAUUCAUUGGGCGUAAAGGGUGCGUAGGCGGCGCGGUAAGUCGGGUGUGAAAUCUCGGAGCUUAACUCCGAAACUGCAUUCGAUACUGCCGGUGCUAGAGGACUGGAGAGGAGACUGGAAUUUACGGUGUAGCGGUGAAAUGCGCAGAUAUCAGGAGGAACACCAAUGGCGAAGGCAGCCGUCGCUGGAACGGAACUGACGCUGAGGCGCGAAAGCGUGGGGAGCGAACAGG
rnacentral:rRNA from 1 species